CACGUAGGGUGCGAGCGUUGUCCGGAAUUAUUGGGCGUAAAGAGCUCGUAGGCGGUGUGUCGCGUCGGCCGUGAAAACCUGCAGCUUAACUGUGGGCUUGCGGUCGAUACGGGCAUCACUGGAGUUCGGCAGGGGAGACUGGAAUUCCUGGUGUAGCGGUGAAAUGCGCAGAUAUCAGGAGGAACACCGGUGGCGAAGGCGGAUCUCUGGGCCUUACCUGACGCUGAGGCGCGAAAGCUAGGGGAGCAAACAGG
rnacentral:rRNA from 1 species